UUAUUUUUUUAUUUUCCUUAAAUCUGCCACAACUAUGUAGCUAUAAAUGACUGUUCUCCACCCUUCCCCGUUGGCCAGUCAGAUAUCUGCGCCAAAUGUCAC